GGCUACAUCAUAUUGAAACACCAGUUUCUGUAUGAUCACCAAAGUUAAGCAAUGUUGAAUCUGGUCAGUACCUAGAUGGGUGACCACUUGGGAAUACCAGAUGCUGUAAG